rnacentral:rRNA from 1 species
GUUACUGCUAUCGGUGUUCGCCUAAGCCAUGCGAGUCAUAUGUUCUUCGUGAACAUGGCGUACUGCUCAGUAACACGUGGAUAACCUGCCCUUGGGUCUGGCAUAACCCCGGGAAACUGGGGAUAAUUCCGGAUAACGCAUAUAUGCUGGAAUGCUUUAUGCGUAAAAUGGAUUCGUCCGCCCAAGGAUGGGUCUGCGGCUUAUCAGGUAGUAGUGGGUGUAAUGUACCUACUAGCCUACAACGGGUACGGGUUGUGAGAGCAAGAGCCCGGAGAUGGAUUCUGAGACAUGAAUCCAGGCCCUACGGGGCGCAGCAGGCGCGAAAACUUUACAAUGCGGGAAACCGUGAUAAGGGGACACCGAGUGCUAGCAUCAUAUGCUAGCUGUCCAGAUGUGUAAAAUACAUCUGUUAGCAAGGGCCGGGCAAGACCGGUGCCAGCCGCCGCGGUAACACCGGCGGCCCGAGUGGUGAUCGUGAUUAUUGGGUCUAAAGGGUCCGUAGCCGGUUUGGUCAGUCCUCCGGGAAAUCUGAUAGCUCAACUAUUAGGCUUUCGGGGGAUACUGCCAGGCUUGGAACCGGGAGGGGUAAGAGGUACUACAGGGGUAGGAGUGAAAUCUUGUAAUCCCUGUGGGACCACCUGUGGCGAAGGCGUCUUACCAGAACGGGUUCGACGGUGAGGGACGAAGGCUGGGGGCACGAACCGGAUUAGAUACCCGGGUAGUCCCAGCCGUAAACGAUGCUCGCUAGGUGUCAGGCAUGGCGCGACCGUGUCUGGUGCCGCAGGGAAGCCGUGAAGCGAGCCACCUGGGAAGUACGGCCGCAAGGCUGAAACUUAAAGGAAUUGGCGGGGGGAGCACAACAACGGGGUGGAGCCUGCGGUUUAAUUGGACUCAACGCCCGGACAACUCACCGGGGACGACAGCAAUAUGUAGGCCGGGCUGAAGACCUUGCCUGAAUCGCUGAGAGGAGGUGCAUGGCCGUCGCCAGUUCGUACUGUGAAGCAUCCUGUUAAGUCAGG